rnacentral:rRNA from 1 species
AUGGGAGAGGUAGAUGGAAUUGGUGGUGUAGGGGUAAAAUCCGUAGAUAUCACCAGGAAUACCGAUUGCGAAGGCGAUCUACUGGAACAUUAUUGACGCUGAGGCAUGAAAGCGUGGGGAGCAAACAGGAUUAGAUACCCUGGUAGUCCACGCCCUAAACGAUGCACACUAGUUGUUGCGAUGCUAGUCAUUGCAGUAAUGCACUUAACAGAUUAAGUGUGCCGCCUGGGGAGUACGGUCGCAAGAUUAAAACUCAAAGGAAUAGACGGGGACCCGCACAAGCGGUGGAGCAUGUGGUUUAAUUCGAAGAUACACGAAGAACCUUACCUGGGCUUGAUAUCCUUGGAAUCUUGUAGAGAUACGAGAGUGCUAGUUUACUAGAACCAAGAGACAGGUGCUGCACGGCUGUCGUCAGCUCGUGUCGUGAGAUGUUGGGUUAAGUCCCGCAACGAGCGCAACCCU